AACCGAGUAGAUACAUACGUGUAGUACACGACAAAUUCUUUGACGUCACUUUAAGGAAAAUGAGAAUUUUAAAAUCUUUAAUUCGGUGUCGUUCGUCGCAGUGAAUUCUUAUAUACUCUAAACGUCGGACUGUAUGAUCUAAAGAAACGUAGGUAUAUGUCGUAAGGCGAUGAAAUACCGGCAGAGGACGAGCAAGUUGAACAUGGCCGUGUAAGUCAGAAAUUUGCACCAAACGUUGGUUUUUAAGUUUUUAUAUUUACUUACCCGUUAAAAAGGAAAAAUAUCACCUAAUAAUCCACAUAAGUAGCACAACACACAUGAAGAAAGCACACACCCAAAA